rnacentral:lncRNA from 1 species
UAGAGAGAGAAACUACUUGCUCUUCUAUUAAGCUUGAAUAGCUUGAUUACAACUUGAUUUGCUUGAUGCUUACAAAUGAAAUUCUCUAGCCUAUUUAUAGGCCUCCACCUCCUCAAUAGACGGUGAGGAUUCAUUUCAUCUAAUGGCUAAGAUUAAGCCUCUAGAAUGAUCUACCACCUACCUCAAUAAUUAUCUACACAAUAUACAUG